AAUGAACGUUGGCGGCGUGGAUUAGGCAUGCAAGUCGCGCGGAAAGGCCCCGCAAGGGGCGCUCGAGCGGCGAAAGGGAUAGUAACACGUGGAUUACCUACCUCCAGGACGGGGAUAGCUGCGGGAAACUGCAAUUAAUACCCGAUGACGUCUUCGGACCAAAGGUGUGAUUCCGCCUGGAGACGGAUCCGCGUCCUAUUAGCUAGUUGGCAGGGUAACGGCCUACCAAGGCUCAGAUGGGUAGCGGGUGUGAGAGCACGACCCGCAUCACUGGGACUGAGACACUGCCCAGCCACCUACGGGUGGCUGCAGUCGAGGAUCUUCGGCAAUGGGCGAAAGCCUGACCGAGCGACGCCGCGUGCGGGAUGAAGGCCUUCGGGUUGUAAACCGCUGUCAGUGGGGAGGAAAUACUGGUGGGAACACCCUCCAGUUUGACCUAUCCGCAGAGGAAGGACGGGCUAAGUUCGUGCCAGCAGCCGCCGUAAAAC
rnacentral:rRNA from 1 species